rnacentral:rRNA from 1 species
AUUGAACGCUGGCGGCAGGCCUAACACAUGCAAGUCGAGCGAGCGGCGGACGGGUGAGUAAUGUAUGGGGAUCUGUCCGAUAGAGGGGGAUAACUACUGGAAACGGUGGCUAAUACCGCAUACUAUCGGCUGAACCCAUAUGGGAUUAGCUAGUAGGUGGGGUAAAGGCUCAGCUAGGCGACGAUCUCUAGCUGGUCUGAGAGGAUGAUAACCCAUACUGGAGCUGGGGCACGGUCCAGACUCCUACGGGAGUCGUCAGUGGUGAUUGUUGCACAUUGGGCGGAAGCCUGAUGCGGCCAUGCCGCGUGUUUGAAGAGGGCCUUAGGGUUCUAAAUCACUUUCAGCGGGUAGGCGUUACCCGCAGAGGAAGCACCGGCUAACUCCGUGCCAGCAGCCGCGGUAAUAC